rnacentral:rRNA from 1 species
GACGAACCGUGCGAACGUUGUUCGGAUUCACUGGGCUUAAAGGGCGCGUAGGCGGGCGGUCAAGUCGGGGGUGAAAUCUUUCCGCUUAACGGGAAGCGUGCCUCCGAUACUGAUCGCCUCGAGGGAGGUAGGGGCAUGUGGAACUUCCGGUGGAGCGGUGAAAUGCGUAGAUAUCGGAAGGAACGCCGGUGGCGAAAGCGACGUGCUGGACCUCUUCUGACGCUGAGGCGCGAAAGCUAGGGGAGCAAACGGG